rnacentral:rRNA from 1 species
ACCGAGUGUCAGCAUCAUAUGCUGGCUGUCCAGGUGUGUAAAAUACACCUGUUAGCAAGGGCCGGGCAAGACCGGUGCCAGCCGCCGCGGUAACACCGGCGGCCCGAGUGGUGAUCGUGAUUAUUGGGUCUAAAGGGUCCGUAGCCGGUUUGGUCAGUCCUCCGGGAAAUCUGAUGGCUCAACCAUUAGGCUUUCGGGGGAUACUGCCAGGCUUGGAACCGGGAGAGGUAAGAGGUACUACAGGGGUAGGA